GCUGCUGCCCCAGGGACUCUCAGUCCCUGUCCCCACCCUGCUCUAUAUGGAGAAGAAGGGAUGUGACUAUACCAGGCAAGACAUCAUGUUUACUGAAACAUAAUGGAUUCUGAUAUCUAUUACUCAAUGGCAGAAACAGCAGCUGGACCCCCUGGAAGCUGCAAUGAAUCAUCAAGGUUUUGUUGUUGUUGUUGUUGUUGUUUGUUUUGUUUUUUUGCUUCACUUUGAAGACAGCAAUUUGUUAAAUCAUGGAGUACAAAAGAGUGAGAGAACCCAUAACUUUACUUUUAGAAAGUUUGGGAUAUAGUAGCCAGGUGAAAAGUAUUAUUCCCUUUGGCUCCAGAUCUGAGGAUUCUUCAUGUUCCCUCCGUUUAUUUUGUUUCCUGUGUUGGGUCUGUGUACUAAUCUAUUAUCUCCCAAGACCUGGGAAAGAUAACUGGCUGCCUUUCAGUGGGUAAAGUUAUCACUGGGCAAAACAAAAUGGAUUAAUAGCAACUGGAGAGAACUGAAAUUAAGUCUAUUGAAAGCUCUCAGUUACUAUUUUUAUGGCGAAUGAAGUGUUAGGUCAUGAAAUCUACACUGGAAUCAGACCAAAUGAAGACACCCUAGGUCUCUUAGUUGACAGAGUCAUAAUUCAUGUUUAAGAGUUCAAACACAUGUGGGUACUCAACACUUCUGAAAAUCAGGUCUUCAGCACUGAAGGACAUUUUAAUGGAGAGCUUAGAAAAUCAUUACCUCAUUGUGUCACUUGUUACUUCAGAGGCAGAUGUUCCUUUCAAAUGUAGGUUAAAAUAGUAGGCUUUUCUCUGCAUAAGUCACCCCAGUUUGAAUUGAUUCUAAUAGCCAUGUGGCUGGUAUCUGGAGUGAAAAAGCUUCACACAAAGGAUUCAUGGAUUUUCUUUAAAUUGUGCUUAUCUUUUUUGCUUUGUUAUGAAGGAGCAGGUCUAAAAAUGGUAUUAGUUCUACAUGAAAACAUUCAAACAGAAUAAAAACUGAAACAUUUUUGGUU